rnacentral:rRNA from 1 species
UACGUAGGCAGCAAGCGUUGUUCGGAAUUACUGGGCGUAAAGAGUGUGUAGGUGGUGUCGUAAGUUUGGUGUGAAAUCUCCCGCUUAACUGGGAGGGUGCGCCGAAGACUGCGAUGCUGGAGUAUGGGAGAGGAAAGCGGAAUUCCUGGUGUAGCGGUGAAAUGCGUAGAUAUCAGGAGGAACACCUGCGGUGUAGACGGCUUUCUGGACCAUUACUGACACUGAGACACGAAAGCGUGGGUAGCAAACAGG